AGGAAAAGAAACUAACAAGGAUUCCCCUAGUAACGGCGAGUGAAGCGGGAAGAGCUCAAAUUUGAAAUCUGGUGGCCUCAGGUCAUCCGAGUUGUAAUCUAUAGAAGUGUUUUCCGUGCUGGCUCAUGUACAAGUCCCUUGGAACAGGGCGUCAUAGAGGGUGAGAAUCCCGUCCUUGACAUGAACUACCAGUGCUCUGUGAUACAUUUUCAACGAGUCGAGUUGUUUGGGAAUGCAGCUCAAAAUGGGUGGUAAAUUCCAUCUAAAGCUAAAUAUUGGCGAGAGACCGAUAGCGAACAAGUACCGUGAGGGAAAGAUGAAAAGCACUUUGGAAAGAGAGUUAAACAGUAUGUGAAAUUGUUAAAAGGGAAACGAUUGAAGUCAGUCGUGCUCUUUGGAUUCAGCCGGUUCUGCCGGUGUACUUCCUUUGAGUGGGGUCAACAUCAGUUUUGAUCGCUGGAUAAAGGCUGGAGGAACGUAGCACCCUCGGGUGAACUUAUAGCCUCCUGUCACAUACAGUGGUUGGGACUGAGGAACGCAGCACGCCUUUAUGGCCGGGAUUCGUCCACGUACGUGCUUAG
rnacentral:rRNA from 1 species